rnacentral:rRNA from 1 species
GAUUAACGCUGGCGGCGUGCAUAACACAUGCAAGUCGAACGAUGAAACUUAACUGAUUUCUUCGGAAUGAUUUUAAGUGGAUUAGUGGCGGACGGGUGAGUAACGCGUGAGUAACCUGCCUUGGAGAAGGGGAUAGCCUUUGGAAACGAAGAAUAAUACCCUAUGAUAUGAUAAUAUCUCAUGAUAUUAUCAUCAAAGAUUUAUCACUCUAAGAUGGACUUGCGUCUGAUUAGUUAGUUGGUGAGGUAACAGCUCACCAAGGCAGCGAUCAGUAGCCGGCUUGAGAGAGUGUACGGCCACAUUGGGACUGAGACACGGCCCAGACUCCUACGGGAGGCAGCAGUGGGGAAUUUUGCACAAUGGGGGAAACCCUGAUGCAGCGACGCCGCGUGAUUUAGAAGGCCUUCGGGUUGUAAAAAUCUUUUGUAUGGGAAGAAAAUGACAGUACCAGACGAAUAAGGACCGGCUAAUUACGUG